CCUCCGCCGCACCGCCGCACCUCCACUGCGCUGCCGCCGCUCCACCGACGCCGCUGAGGGAGGUGGAGGAGAGGCUGGAGAGCGUGUACCGGCUGGCGAUGAAAGGGAGGGACAUGGUGGACGCGGGCUACGGCGACGGGUAGGAGGACACCGGCGUGGUGGACGAGGAGGUGGAGCGGGUGCUCCUCGUCGCCAGCUGCGCCACCUGCACGAGCCCUUCGGCCGGAUCCGCGGCCUCCUCAUCCUCGACGUCUCGCGCAAUCAGCUCAAGGUAUCGCUAACCCUACAGCCUGCAUUGCUAUUACCAUUCGAGGAUCCGCGACGUUCCCCAAUUCGCCAUUUUGAUGAGGAGUUCCCAUUGUGAGAGCUACUGCACUCCUCCCUUGUGCAACCUCCCUUGCCUACCCAAGUCCAAAUACAAAUCGACCGCGGAUGAUGUCGCCGCCGCCGCUUCUCCAACUCCGGCCACCGGCGUCGCAGCAGCUUUGGCUGAGGACAAGCCUCCUCCGGUGCAGAAGAUUGAGGCUGCGACGACAGACAAGGACGAUGACGACGAUGAUGAUGAGGCUAGCAAGGAAGUGGUGGUGACCGUGGUUCCCAAGAGUAGCCUGAAGAAGACUAAUUGUGAGGACAGUAAGAAUGUGGUGAAAGGCAAUGCGAAAUGGAUGGAUUUGCUGGGGAGGAUCUCACUGAAGUCAAAGAAUUUGAGCCAAGAGAAUCUGGAGACUCGGAUGAUGAAGAUGGCAACACCUGCAUCUGUGUCAUCCAAUAAGCACUCCCUGGAGAUCAUCACUGUAAAUUCUCUGAAAGGAAAACCCAAAAACAAGUGUAUGGGCCAGCCAUUAGUUGUUUAUUGUCAGUAGAGAGAUCAACAGAGAUCACCCCAUUGUGUUGUUGGUUUAUCUGGAUGGAAUUGGCUUGUGUUGUUGUAUCAGCAGCAGCUUCAGCAGUACAUGUUGCACAUGCAUAGCUUUUAGAGUUUUAGAAGAUUCCUGCCAAAUCUGAUCAAGUUCUUGCCUGUUUUUUGUUCUGGUAACCUGGCUGAGUGGUUGGUGUGUUGUGGUGGCUGGCUGAUCAGCAUUGUACAAGCAAUUUCUUCCUGUCCUGGAAUUGCAGGUGCAACAAUUUCAUUCCCGUAGAAUUUUUUUAAUAUAACUGAAUGUUUGCUAAAAUCAUUUUUUAGUAAAAUCAAAUUCUAGCG